UACAUGGGGGUGCAAACGUUGCUCGGAAUUAUUGGGCGUAAAGCGCACGUAGGCGGUUCGUUAAGUCGGAUGUGAAAGCCCUCGGCUCAACUGAGGAAGUGCACCCGAAACUGGCGAGCUUGAGUACGAAAGAGGAUCGCGGAAUUCCCGGUGUAGAGGUGAAAUUCGUAGAUAUCGGGAGGAACACCGGUGGCGAAGGCGGCGAUCUGGGUCGAUACUGACGCUGAGGUGCGAAAGCGUGGGGAGCAAACAGG
rnacentral:rRNA from 1 species